GACAGAGGAUGCAAGCGUUAUCCGGAAUGAUUGGGCGUAAAGCGCCUGUAGGUGGCUUUUUAAGUCCGCCGUCAAAUCCCAGGGCUCAACCCUGGACAGGCGGUGGAAACUACCAAGCUGGAGUACGGUAGGGGCAGAGGGAAUUUCCGGUGGAGCGGUGAAAUGCGUAGAGAUCGGAAAGAACACCAACGGCGAAGCAACUCUGCUGGGCCGACACUGACACUGAGAGACGAAAGCUAGGGGAGCGAAUGGG
rnacentral:rRNA from 1 species